rnacentral:rRNA from 1 species
CACUCCUACGGGAGGCAGCAGUGGGGAAUAUUGCACAAUGGGCGCAAGCCUGAUGCAGCCAUGCCGCGUGUAUGAAGAAGGCCUUCGGGUUGUAAAGUACUUUCAGCGGGGAGGAAGGCGAUAAGGUUAAUAACCUUGUUGAUUGACGUUACCCGCAGAAGAAGCACCGGCUAACUCCGUGCCAGCAGCCGCGGUAAUACGGAGGGUGCAAGCGUUAAUCGGAAUUACUGGGCGUAAAGCGCACGCAGGCGGUCUGUCAAGUCGGAUGUGAAAUCCCCGGGCUCAACCUGGGAACUGCAUUCGAAACUGGCAGGCUAGAGUCUUGUAGAGGGGGGUAGAAUUCCAGGUGUAGCGGUGAAAUGCGUAGAGAUCUGGAGGAAUACCGGUGGCGAAGGCGGCCCCCUGGACAAAGACUGACGCUCAGGUGCGAAAGCGUGGGGAGCAAACAGGAUUAGAAACCCCGGUAGUCCCAU